CGGCGGGGAGGGGUGGACCAGCAGCACUCACAGCCGGACGGAGGAGCGGACGCCAGCCGCGCCGGCCAGAGCGAGCGCCCCGUGGCCGGGGGCGCCGUCCAGGCGCGCGCCCCGGACCCGUGGCUGGACGGGGGCGAUUGGCGCCCCGGACCGACGCGCCCCUCAGCAUGGAGCGCCCCCGGGGUCUGCCCUGAGGCGGCGGCGGCGGCGAUGCAGCCAGCGCAGCAGCUGCUUGGGCCAGGAACGGCCGCCCGGAGCUCGGAGGACGUGGAGCGCACCGCGCCCGGGGCGCUGACCGAGGGCCCUCCAGCCACCAACUCCUCUGCAGCUGGCACCUGGGAGAUGGCAGCCUUGAAGAUGGCCACUGCCUGGUCCGCAGCGCUACUUAGAGGAUAGGAGUCAAGAGGAGCUGCCCCGCCCGGAGCUGGCCUGGGGGCAGGCC
ensembl:lncRNA